UACGGGGGGAGCAAGCGUUGUUCGGAAUUACUGGGCGUAAAGGGCUCGUAGGCGGCCAACUAAGUCGGACGUGAAAUCCCCAGGCUCAACCUGGGAACUGCAUCCGAGACUGCAUUGCUAGAGUAUGGGAGAGGGAAGCGGAAUUUCUGGUGUAGCAGUGAAAUGCGUAGAUAUCAGAAGGAACAUCAGUGGCGAAGGCGGCUUCCUGGACCAAUACUGACGAUCAGGUGCGAAAGCGUGGGGAGCAAACAGG
rnacentral:rRNA from 1 species